rnacentral:snRNA from 1 species
GUGCUCGGUUCGGCAGCACAUAUACUAAAAUUGGAAUGAUACAGAGAUUAGCAUGGCCCCUGCACAAGGAUGACAUGCAAAUUCGUGAAGUGUUCCAUAUUUAA